CUCAGGGGGUGCCAGCCCUGGGAAGGGGUGUUCCUGGAAAGGUCUGCACACUGGGCAGCACAAGGUGUUUCCCUCCAAGAGUGGAGAAGAGUGGGGUUUGGAGUCCUCAUGCUCCAGGGUCAUGGCCGCUGAGACUGGAGGAGCUGCGUUAGUCCCGUCUGAAUUCCAUGAUUUGGGCGGAAUUGCACUUGCCACGUUGAGCACACACUCCAGCAAACCCCUGUGCUCUGGGAAGCAGUGAAGGAGCAGGGAAAAGGCAGGUUUGUGAUCUUCCUUGCCAGGGCUGGCUUCAAGGAAACAA
rnacentral:lncRNA from 1 species